rnacentral:rRNA from 1 species
CUACGGGGUGCACCAGUGGGGAAUAUUGCACAAUGGAGGAAACUCUGAUGCAGCAACGCCGCGUGGAGGAUGACACUUUUCGGAGCGUAAACUCCUUUUAUAUAGGAAGAAGAUGACGGUACUAUAUGAAUAAGCGCCGGCUAACUCCGUGCCAGCAGCCGCGGUAAUACGGAGGGCGCAAGCGUUACUCGGAAUCACUGGGCGUAAAGAGCGUGUAGGCGGAUUAAAAAGUCAGAAGUGAAAUCCUAUAGCUUAACUAUAGAACUGCCUCUGAAACUCUUAAUCUAGAAUAUGGGAGAGGUAGAUGGAAUUUCUGGUGUAGGGGUAAGAUCCGUAGAGAUCAGAAGGAAUACCGAUUGCGAAGGCGAUCUACUAGAACAUUAUUGACGCUGAGACGCGAAAGCGUGGGGAGCAAACAGGAUUAGAUACCCGCGUAGUC